rnacentral:rRNA from 1 species
CCUAUUAUAAUGAAUUUAUUUUUAUUAUCAGAGUAGUAAUAGUUAAGUUCUUGAAACUCAAAGAAUUUGGCGGUAUUUUAGUCUAUUUAGAGGAACUUGUAUUGUAAUCGAUAAUCCACGAUGGAUCUUACUUAAUUUUGUAUGAAUCAAUUUGUAUACCGCCGUUUUUGAAAAUUUUAUAAGAAUAUUAAUUUUCAAAAUUUUAUAGUUGAUAAUAAGUCAGGUCAAGGUGCAGUUUAUAAUUAAGUUAAUUAUGAGUUACAAUAAAUUUAUUUAAGCGAAUUUAGAAGUGAAAYUUUCUAAUGAAGAUGGAUUUAAAAGUAAAUUUUAAAAGAUUAUAAUUUUGAUUUUAGCUCUAGAAUAUGCACACAUCGCCCGUCGCUCUUGUUAUAUUAAAUAUUUUUUAUUUAUUAUUUUAUAUAAGAUAAGUCGUAACAUAGUAGAUGUAUCGGAAGAUGUAUCUAGAAUGACAAUUUGAAGCUAAUUAAAGUAUUUCAUUUACACUGAAAAGUAAUAUUGUUUAAAUCAAUACAAAUUGAUAAAUUUAAAUUAUUAAUAUUUGUUUUUUUAUAUUUAAUUUUAUUAAAAAUAAUUUUUAUUUGGUUUUAGUAUUUUAUAUAGAAUGAAUAAUUUAAAUAAUAGUUUAUUAGUACUGUGAAGGAAUUUUGAAAUAAUUGAAAAUUAAUUAAUUUAAA